GGGUAUAGCUCAAUGGGAGAGUAUGUGUUUAGCAGUCACAAGGCCCUGGGUUCAAUCCUUAGCAAUACACA
rnacentral:tRNA from 1 species